rnacentral:rRNA from 1 species
UGCAAGUCGAACAAUGAAGCCCAGCUUGCUGGGUGGAUUAGUGGCGAACGGGUGAGUAACACCUGAGUAACCUCCCCUUAACUCUGGGAUAAGCCUGGGAAACUGGGUCUAAUACCGGAUAGGAGCGUCCACCGCAUGGUGGGUGUUGGAAAGAUUUAUCGGUUUUGGAUGGACUCGCGGCCUAUCAGCUUGUUGGUGAGGUAAUGGCUCACCAAGGCGACGACGGGUAGCCGGCCUGAGAGGGUGACCGGCCACACUGGGACUGAGACACGGCCCAGACUCCUACGGGAGGCAGCAGUGGGGAAUAUUGCACAAUGGGCGAAAGCCUGAUGCAGCGACGCCGCGUGAGGGAUGACGGCCUUCGGGUUGUAAACCUCUUUCAGUAGGGAAGAAGCGAAAGUGACGGUACCUGCAGAAGAAGCACCGGCUAACUACGUGCCAGCAGCCGCGGUAAUACGUAGGGUGCGAGCGUUAUCCGGAAUUAUUGGGCGUAAAGAGCUCGUAGGCGGUUUGUCGCGUCUGUCGUGAAAGUCCGGGGCUUAACCCCGGAUCUGCGGUGGGUACGGGCAGACUAGAGUGCAGUAGGGGAGAAUGGAAUCCCUGGUGUAGCGGUGGAAUGCGCAGAUUUCAGGAGGAACACCGAUGCGGAAGGCAGGUCUUUGGGCUGUAACUGACGGUGA